GAUGAACGCUGGCGGCGUGCUUAACACAUGCAAGUCGAACGGAAAGGCUCCUGCUUGCAGGGGUACUCGAGUGGCGAACGGGUGAGUAACACGUGGGUGAUCUGCCCUGCACUUCGGGAUAAGCCUGGGAAACUGGGUCUAAUACCGGAUAGGACCACAUUUUGGAUGGUGUGGUGGAAAGUUUUUCGGUGUGGGAUGAGCUCGCGGCCUAUCAGCUUGUUGGUGGGGUAAUGGCCUACCAAGGCGUCGACGGGUAGCCGGCCUGAGAGGGUGUACGGCCACAUUGGGACGUAGAUACGGCCCAGACUCCUAAGGGAGGCAGCAGUGGGGAAUAUUUCACAAUGGGCGCAAGCCUGAUGCAGCGACGCCGCGUGGGGGAUGACGGCCUUCGGGUUGUAAACUCCUUUCGCUAGGGACGAAGCGUUUUUGUGACGGUACCUGGAGAAGAAGCACCGGCUAACUACGUG
rnacentral:rRNA from 1 species